CAUUUACAUUAAUAAAAACAGCUGAAACUCCUAAAACUGAGAGGUUUAAUAUUCCCGAUGUUAAGCUCAAUUAUUUAAUUAAUUUCAUUUAUGUAAUUACUACAAUGUUUUUAUAAACUAUAUGUGUUUGUUUACAGACAACAACUGUGUCAGCACCCAAAUGCAGAGCAGACAUCCUCACAUAAAGUAGCUUU